GGAUUAGACCCGAAACCGAGUGAUCUAGCUAUGGGCAGGUUGAAGGUGCGGUAACACGCACUGGAGGACCGAACCCGAGAAUGUUGAAAAAUUCCGGGAUGACCUGUGGCUAGGGGUGAAAGGCCAAUCAAACUCGGAUAUAGCUGGUUCUCCGCGAAAACUAUUUAGGUAGUGCGUCGUGUGUUUACCCUCGGGGGUAGAGCACUGGAUGGGCUAGGGGGGCGCGAGCCUUACCAAACCUAACCAAACUCCGAAUACCGAGGAGUACAGCACGGCAGACAGACCAUGGGUGCUAAGAUCCGUGGUCGAGAGGGAAACAGCCCUGACCGCCAGCUAAGGUCCCUAAGUUAUGGCUAAGUGGGAAAGGAAGUGAGAAGGCCAAGACAGCCAGGAGGUUGGCUUAGAAGCAGCCAUCCUUUAAAGAAAGCGUAACAGCUCACUGGUCUAAUAGCCGUCUCGCGCCGAAGAUGUAACGGGGCUCAAGCCAUACACCGAAGCUGCGGGUGUGUACCAUUUGGUGCACGCGGUAGCGGAGCGUUCCGUAAGUCCGUGAAGCGGUAUCCGUGAGGAGCCGUGGAGAUAUCGGAAGCGAGAAUGCUGACAUGAGUAGCGACAAAGAGUGUGAGAAACACUCUCGCCGUAAGUCCAAGGGUUCCUCGGCAAGGCUAAUCCGCCGAGGGUGAGCCGGCUCCUAAGGCGAGGCCGAAAGGCGUAGUCGAUGGGAACACGGUUAAUAUUCCGUGGCCUGCCGGGAUGUGACGACCGCUGUGUGUUGUAGGAUCUUAUCGGAUUGAUCCUGCUUCGAAGGUGGUCCAGGAAACAGCCCCGGUUUUAGACCGUACCCUAAACCGACACAGGUGGACUGGUAGAGCAUACCAAGGCGCUUGAGAGAACGAUGUUGAAGGAACUCGGCAAAAUGCCCCCGUAACUUCGGGAUAAGGGGGCCCCAUGUCUGGGCAACCAGAUGUGGGGGGCACAGAGUUGGGGAUGGCGACUGUUUACUAAAAACAUAGGGCUCUGCGAAGCCGCAAGGCGAAGUAUAGGGUCUGACGCCUGCCCGGUGCCGGAAGGUUAAGGAGAGAGGUGCAAGCUUCGAACCGAAGCCCCGGUAAACGGCGGCCGUAACAAUAACGGUCCUAAGGUAGCGAAAUUCCUUGUCGGGUAAGUUCCGACCUGCACGAAUGGC
rnacentral:rRNA from 1 species